CUGGAUUCCGCCUUGUCUUUUGGUGUCACUUGGGGAAAGAAAGAAAUUCGACUGUGCCCCAGGAGUAACUUCCAAGCUGCUCAGGGAAGGGAUCUGCCCCCGCAGAGUCUGAAGUCCAUCAAGUCAGUUGCAUAAAAUAUCAAAGGGCACCCUUUGCCACAAACAUGCAGAGGAGGAAGUCCUCCUCCAGGACAGGAAGUCAGUGAUGGAGUUAGGUCUUCUCUUUAUAACACCCAGAACAGUUGACACAAAACAACAGUACAGGUGAGAGGUGAGUGAGUAAAUUCAUUAGUUGCCCUACAUUCUGCAAGUUAUUUUUUUUUCUUUGCUGCGGAAAUAUUUUCUUUUGUGUAAACCCUACUGACUGUGGCUCCUAGCUUUGGAUUCUGAAGUGAGAGGCAGGCUGAAAUCUGGGGAAUCUCGGCCAGUAGGCUUUGCACAUACCUCCGUGUUGAGGGAAGAGUGAGGGAGCAGAAUGAUCACUGGAGAAACCACAUCUCCAAGCCUUACCAUGGGCCAACAGAGCAGGACCCUUGCUUCCCUCUGGAGGUCUCUGGAGGAAGAGGGAGCUUCCCUCCUCAGUAUCAUUAACACCCCCACCUCUCUGAAGAUGUCUCAACAAAUCUCAAACACAAUAUGGUUGUCUACUUCUGAUUCAAUUUAGGACUACCCAACCCAAACUCAAGAAAUAUAAUCCUUUUAGCAAUUUUAUAACAAUAUUCACAAAGAACAGCAUGGUGGACCCUGUGUGUGCCUACCUCAGAAUCCUGCACUUAUUUCACCUGUUCCUCUCAUGUUUUUUCCCCCAGAAAUAACUUUCAAAUCUACUCCAUCAAGCAAGUUGAGGUUCACAGUUGAAAUUGAAAUUUUCCAAAUACCUUCAGGUUGAGAGGGUCUAAAUACUUUCUUUUGUUUAUUUUUCACUUACAGGAGGCGGUUUGUUCUCAGCCCUUCAAAAACUCAUUGAAAAGUCAUAUUGUAAUGAGCAAACUUCAGACCCGAUUGCCAAAUUUAUAUUCAGGAAAACAACAUUUUUCUAUUUUCUAGCUUUCCUUGGAAAAUGUUCCAUUUUUCUUUAAGCUCUCAUUUUCUGGGUGAACAUACCAGUAUGGCUCCAUCUCUGUUGGGGUCUCCACAUGGUGAUCACUGGUGAGUGCCUUGUUGAUUCUGGACAUAGAACUUUAAAAAUAUUGAUUGUCUUUACUCAAAAAUGAAAUUCAUAAAAAUCUGACUCAGAGGAGGUUUGGACAGACAUUCCAUGAACUAUUUCAUAAAUACCUACUGUGUUGUAGGAGGUUGACCUCCCGAUCACCUCCAUUCCUGCCCAGCAGUCUGUACUUCCAUGCUGGAAGCUAGGGAAGGAAGCAUCCUGGCUUGACUCCUGGGUCUGCUGAUAGCUGUGAACACUAGUGGCUCACGUCCUUGACAGCACCAGCUUCAGCGUUGGAUCUGAUAUCCUGCCACAGAUGGACAGCUCAUGUGAUGAGAACAAGUGGCUGAUAAGUGCUUUAAGUUCUGUGUUCCCCACAUCACAGGGAGUUUUGUACUAUCGCUGCUCAAAGCAGAAAUGAGAGGCCAUGACAGGACUUCCUCCUCUGCCUGACCUCCUGGGACUGCAGGAUCUCAAGGAGGUCAUCCAGACAGGUUAAAUGACUCAGCUCUGGUUCCUGCUGGUUAGUGGGGGAGCUAGAGUGUUUUGAAAGAAAUUUUCUUGUUCAUCUUUUUCUUGCAACCAAAAUGGUUGUGAGAAGGAAACAGAUUUACCAAAAGUUUUGGUGAAACAUCAUUGGUGUUCACUGAUAUUCUGCUUCUGGGAUAAAGGGAUUCUAGGAGUAAUUAAUUAAAUUAAUAACUGGUUUCAAAAUGCUCCAUCAAGCAUAGCUAUUACUGAAUUAAAAAACCUAGUGUCAAUUUUAGUUCAACAUAAUAAGAAAACUUCAUGUUAUAUUUUGCUUUGGUAUCAAACUUACUUCUCUAUAGAGAGCUUACUUUUUCCUGUCUAAAAAGUUACCUUAUUGUUGCUAAAAAGAUCUACUUCCAGUUGUAAUAUCCAUCAUGUUAAAAUAAUUUUGGUUCUUAUUUUCUUCUUAAAGGUUUUGUACAUCAUCAUAGUUGAAAAGAUAGAAGAAUCCUAUAUGGUGGUGCGUCUCUCAGUGGGGUUUUAAUGGCAAAGGAGCAACUAGUUUGCCUUUCUUGCCCCGUGUCAGGGAGGAAACUUUUCCUCUACCCUGUUAUAUUCUGUGUUUAGAGACCUGAAAAUUAAACUGUCAAACAGAUUAGUAAAAGAAGAUACAGAUGUUCAGAGAAAAAUGGAACUCAGAUGGCAGUAAGAACCUGAGGAUUCUGUACCAUAUUAAUAGGGCACAGGGUGGGGCACAGGGGCACUUCUGGGGGAAAAGAUGGAUUCUUAGAAGGUGGAGAGAAAGGACACUUAUGGAAAGACAAAAGAACUUUUUGAAAGAUAAAUGUGCCCUUAGAUGACUAGAUAGGAGACAGUUUUGUGAUAGCUUCUGGAUACCCAGUGCUGCCUCCAAGAGAUUAGAGUUGCUCUUAGGGGAUUUGGGAUGAUUGAGUUCUUCAAGGAGACUCUACUUCUAGGCAGAUAAGGGAUUUCAGGAACUCACAUGCCUUCAGCUCAAAAUAAAUCAAAUGUCCUAGUGGCUCAUUGUAGACCCCUUAACCCACGAACCCCACACUCCCCCAAUACAGUCCAGCUCCUUUUAUGCUUCAAGCAUUUCAUGUUUAUUUUCUUCUAAGAAUUCUGUGAAAUCUUCAUUAAGCAUCUCUCAAUCUUCAAAUUUUUGUAGAGAAAAUUUACUUAUAGGCCUGGUUAGCACCAUUGAAUAUUAAGUGUAUUAAAUGUCAUGCUCCUAACAUGAGCAGUAUUAGCAUGUAAGGAGGAACUCUAGAACUAAUGACUUUUUUUUUUUUUAAAAAAAGACAUCAUACACUGCAAUUUUGAUUAUCUGCAGCUCUGGAUACCUUAUUCACAAUGCAUUAAAAUUAGGUAUAAUGUACAUUUUAUAUGUAAAAUCAGAAGCACAGUUGUAAUUUGAAGAAUAAGAAUAGUACAUAAAAUUGAGAUAGUGCAUACAUUCUUUAUUGUCACAAAGAGAAAUUGGAAAUGUCCAUUUAAGCUUUUAGUAUUAUGACCAAGGUUCAGGGUCUCCUACACAAAGUAAAGAUACAUGGAACAGAACCCUAGGCAAGAUGCUACAUUAUGAAUUAAUAAAACUUCAAGGCUAGAUGAUUGUUAUUUUUUCUCCCUGUCUUUAUAUGCAAGGAGAAAAAUUACUUUUGUGUUUUUUUUAAACCAAUAAGGUAAAAAAGUAGAAAAUUUUAUCUUUGGUUUAAAGGCUAGAAAUCCUGAAAUAAAUGCUUGCAUAUAAAAAUCUUAUGAAGGCCAAGACACAGAAUUAGCUAAUGCUAAAUUCUAUGUGCAUGAAAUAAGUAAUUUAUAUUCCAUACAAGUCAUAACUGCAAGGAAGGGAUCUGUUCCCUGGUUAUCCUGAGUAUUGCCUGCCUAGUAUUAGUUUAGCCUGGGUUCUCGUGAGUCCCACCUAGAUCAAGGGUGGAAGGGAUUAUACUUCAAUGGGGGCCACCAGAACAGCAACUGUGAGGAAAACAGGAAUUGAAUCAGGGAGGACAUGCACUGUGCAGGUGACACACCUGUACUGGCUAUCACUGCACCAGAUGCUGGGAGAGAGAAAGAGCAGUGUGACAGGUGUGUCCCGUUCAUAGACAUUCUGAGAAGUCUGUGAGGAGGAGAAAGGAAAGAAAGAAUCUGUCAGUCCAUCUCUUGUUGCCCUCUGGUCAAAGCUCACCCCACAGUUAUUAAUGUGCUUCCAGCCAAGGGGCUGAACCACCUGGCCACAAGGAGUCCAUAUUGAAUACAGAUCCGAGCCCCACAGUGGAAAGUUACAUCUGAGUCUGGAAGUGGCAGGAAGUGUCUGAACCCCUGGGUACAAGCACUCGGCCUUGUUAGAUGUUGGGGAGCCCAAAGGUUGGAGCCAAGAUGCCAAGGUCAAGAGGCCAGUCAGCCCCAGGUAGCAGAACCAUGAGGUCCUGAAAAGUUGUUUGGUGGACAAAGCUGAGGUGGAGCCAGUGUCUGGAGACCCAGAGAGCAGGUGGCCCCAGCGAGCUUUGAGAAGGCACCUGAGGUUUGAGUCUGACACAGUUGUCCAGUGCAUUAUUUUUCUUCGGCUUUUAUAUGUUUGAAAUAUUUAAUCAUCAAAAAUGAUUUGGGGGGGGGGGUAGAUGCUCCCUAUAGUUAGAGGUUACCUAGCAAUUUUCAUUAUUCUCAGUAUAAGUGCAUAGAAAUCACCUGAGAAUUUAUAAGUAAUUCAGACUCCUCAGCAAUCCCCCCAAAUACUCUGAUUUGAAAGUUCUGAGAGGCCAGGGAAUCUGCAUAUUAAAUAUUCACUUUCCCCCAGUGCAUAAAACAUUGACAUAAAUGGUUCAAAGACUAUGUAUGGUUUAAGGAACAUUGCUUUAAUGAUUUUGAAACCCAUAAGAUCCUUUGGCUAUUUGAUGGUUAUAAGGCAUGUUGGCCUUCAGGUACAAUGUGUGCUGGCCAAGUAGCCUGGGCAAUAGGGGACCCGAGUUUUAAAUAGCUGUAGCAUUUAUUAGCAAUAUGCUUUCUACCAAUUGAGUUAAUUGCAUUGAUGAAUUCAUUGACCCUAACUAAAACUGGAUUAACUUUUCUGACACUUAAUGACAGAAUUCUGAAGAUCAAUUUUUAUGCAAAUGCUACGAAUUGAAAAAUAGGAUUCAAAGCAGGAGACUGAUAUUAUUAUCUUUUACAUUGUUGCAAAAUGAGAUUUUUCCCAAACCUAGUUUCUUUAAGACUGAGAAAAUGCAUUCAUUCAGUGUAUUCGUAAAUGUAAAACUCACUUUCUUGACUUCAAAAAUAAUUGCCCAGUUAGGAAAAUCUAAAAUUGGCACUUUCUCUGUAAUUUUGAUAAUUUGAUUUGUUUCUACUUGAUUUUCUGUGGUUAUAAGAGAUUUUUAGAUUUUAUGUUUAUCAUAUCCUGUGAAUUUUAUGCCUAGUUAUGUUGUUCCUCUGACAGAGUGUCACAAAGAGAAAAGAAUCUUAUAUUCCUAGGGAAACUAAGUCCAUCAGGGUUAAAAAUUCAUGAAGGAGACAAUUGACAAUUUGCUUUGCGCUUUAUCUUGGCUGCAGUAAUGAAUAAAGGGGCCACCAUGGAAAAUGAGAUCAGCAAGGGCUUGAUUAAAGCUGUAAGUUGGAAGGAAAAAAUGAGGAAAUGGGAUUGAUAUCUUCCUUCUUCUCAAUCUCAAUGUGAAAAGACAAAGCCCAGAAGCUAGUUAAGAACCUGAGACAAGGAACCAAAUUAUAAGGAUUUUGCAGUUUUCUCAUUUCCUAUUAUUAUUUUUAGUCAUUUUCAUCUUUUUUUGGCAAUUUAGGAAAAGGAAGUAAUAUUUUUAAAAUGAUUGUUAUAAUUGAACAUUUUGAAAGGUAUGGGCUAUAGCUAAAGCAAUCCAUAGAGGCAAAUUUAUAGCUUAAAAAAUUCCUGUAUUGAUUUUUAAAAAGAUGUUUAAAAAUACAUUGUGUAAGUUUUCAUAGAUAGAAUAAACAAAGUAAAUUGAACCCAAUGUAAGUAGAAGGAAAUCAUAAACAUAGAUAAAAUUAAUAGAGUCAAAAAUUGAUUCUUUGGAAAAUAUGUAAAUAUUUCAAACUUUGUGGUUAAUUCCAUAGGAAGACUGCAUAUGAAAAAAAAACCCCACAAAAGUCCUAUAUCAUGAAUACAAGGGGGAUAUCGCUAUAUAUAAUAUAGAUAUUGGAAGAUAAUAAAUGUUAUAAGCAAUAUAUGAUAAUAAAUUUGACAACUUAGAGUUUUUAUAAAAUGAAACAGUCUUUGAAAAACCCUAUACCAAACUGAAAAGAUGAACUAAAAAUACAAAUAUCCUUUAUGUCAACUGAAAGAAUUGAUUUUUAAAAAAUUGCUUCAGAGAUGAUUUUACUGGUGAAUUUUGUGAAAUGUAUUUUUUUCCCCUCCUAGUUCAAGUAGGUUUUUGUUCUUUUCCUUAAACAAAAGGAAACUUAUUGUAGAAAAAGGUCAGUAAGUGAGGAACCAUAUCCUUGAACCUGUGGUUGGUCCAAGAGUCAGCAGUUAACUUAGGUGGAACUCUGGAUUUGUUUGGUGAUUUGAGGACAUGACAUGAUCUAUCCCCUUGGGUGCAAAUGAGAAGCAUCAGGCUGCAGUCAUUCUGAUUAUCAUUUUGUGACCAAGAGAGAAAGAAAGGUGAGGAUGAUGCCAACUCAAGGAGCAAAGGUAGCAGAGAGAACCUCAGAAGCAGCUUGUAACCCUGACACCAUUACCAUGAACUUCAAGGUUAGACUGUCACUCCCAGCCAGCCACAUGUCUUUUCAUUUGUACAAAACAACAUUUUCAUUAUUGUGUAAGUUAAUUGAACUGAGUUUUAUGUUACUUGCAAUGUUUUAAUAGAUCUAAUGUUUUGAUACUUAAUACAGCAAAUCCUCCAUCAUCAUUUAUCAUCUCUCCCCGCAAAAGCCCUGGAUUUUUCUAACGCUUUCUUUCUUGUUUAAAUAAAUUUUAAAUUUGUUUUAAUUAGUUAUUCAUGAC
rnacentral:lncRNA from 1 species